rnacentral:lncRNA from 1 species
CUGUGGGAUUGGCAAGGUCCGGGACCCCCUUCGCCAUAUACUAGCUUCUCUUUGGGAGUUUCGUUCCAGGCCAGCUGUUGGUUGAGGGAGCUGAGUCAUGGCUCUUUUGGGAUCAGGGUGCAAGGAAGCAGCUUGAGGACCAUAAGGAAGAGUUGGUAUUCCAGCUCUAAGGCAACGUGCUCAGGAAUUUGAAGAGGCUGCUAUACUUUGUAGGGUUACUGUGGUUUGUUUUUUGUUUUUUGUUUUUUUUUUUUUUCAUUCCUCUUUGCCCCUUCCUGCCUUGCCCAGGACCACACUGUCCCCUCCUUCCUCUCUGAUGAGUGAGGAGUCGAAAGCUGGUGUCUCUGCAGUUCUCUGGUUGUGCUGUCCGUGCUGUCCAUGGUGUUCACUAAUAAACCUGUCACUCAACUCUAAAUUCUUAACUACUCCCCUUAUGUCAGUCUUCCUUGCUUUGACCUCUCUCUCACUGCCUGUCCCCCUGGCUUGGUAAUGGACCACAGACUGACAUGCAUACAUUACGUCCUUGUGCUCUGUGCCCUCCUGCCUCCAGGGAUGUAACUAUUCUCUUCUGAGUAUGCCUUUAGCCUGAAAUCUGUUUCCCUAAACGUUCCUGCAUGUGGGGGACACUCCAGAAGACUUGCCGGCUCCUCUUUUUCCAGCAAGCACCCUCCAUCUGGAAGCCUACUGCAGUUGGGGAGCUUCUGCUCCCUGGGGUCUCUGGACCUAAGUGCAGGGAUGGGACUGGAAAGAACUAUGCUGCUGUCUGCAAACCUCCAUAAGGACUUUGCUGGGCUGGGAGAUGGCCGCAGACAGGAGUAUCUUCACAUCCUUCGUCCAUUUGGAAAGGCAAUAUUUCAGGUUGUGGUGGUAAAAGUUAAUCUUCUACUGAGGGUGGAGAGACUACUUCCUCAGGCUGCCACCAGGAGAUAUGGCCUAGAUUAC